rnacentral:lncRNA from 15 species
CUGUCUGGUUUCCGUGGCAACAACACACAGGUUGGAUGUGCAGCGCGAGUGCUCUCUGGUCCUCAGAUAGAGGUGUUUAUGAUGAUUCCUGAGGUCAAACAGUCGUCUGCUGAUGGUUUCAGGAAUCUGGGUCUGAUCACAUUUAUUUCAUCAUCACAUUCCUGCUCAAAAGAAAACAUCAGGCCCUUUGCUGUGUGUCAUCCCCUCUCUCUCACUCUCUCUCUCUCUCUCUCUCUCUCUCUCUCUCUCUCUCUCUCUCUCUCUCUCUCUCUCUCUCCCUGCCUUUUCCUAUCUAAGAAUAAAGGCAACAAGUUCAAGAUCAGAUGAACCAAUGUCUUUUAAACUGCUGUACUGCAUUUCCCAGUUGGUAAUGACUGACUGAGAGCUUUUCAGAUAAUAACUAAUAAUACCAAUAAUCAUUGAUAAAUGUUUGUUCAACACUGACUUUUCUUCAGAUGAAGAAGAUUUAUACUUUAUUGUUCAGUCUCACUUUGAGGAGACUUCCGUGAUAUGACAACUGUAUGACUGUAACUGUGCUGGCUGUGCGUUUAAUACUGUUUUGCAUCAGUGUGCUAAUCCCUGUCAAACACUGGGAAUAUUAACCUGUGCAGGAUUUUCAUGGAGGUCCUUCAUGAUUUCUGUGAUCUACUCUCUUAGUUUUUUAAUAAUUUAUUAUUUAUAUAUUUAUUUAUUUUUGUUCACUUCAUUAAAACAUGACGUCUUAAUGUUGUGAUUUCACUUGUGUUCAAUGUCCUUGUUGUCCUUGAUUAUAUCUAAAAUAAUUAAGGCUUCUCACAGCAGAACAAUAACAACAACUGAAUCACACCUGCUGUAAAAACUGG